AUUGAACGCUGGCGGCAGGCCUAACACAUGCAAGUCGAACGAGUGGCGGACGGGUGAGUAAUGUAUGGGAAUCUGCCCGAUGGAGGGGGAUAACUACUGGAAACGGUGGCUAAUACCGCAUACUAUCGGAUGACCCCAUAUGGGAUUAGCUAGUAGGUGGGGUAACGGCUCACCUAGGCGACGAUCCCUAGCUGGUCUGAGAGGAUGACCAGCCACACUGGGACUGAGACACGGCCCAGACUCCUACGGGAGGCAGCAGUGGGGAAUAUUGCACAAUGGGCGCAAGCCUGAUGCAGCCAUGCCGCGUGUAUGAAGAAGGCCUUAGGGUUGUAAAGUACUUUCAGCGAGGAGGCGUUACUCGCAGAAGAAGCACCGGCUAACUCCGUGCCAGCAGCCGCGGUAAUAC
rnacentral:rRNA from 1 species